GUAGAUGCUCAUUCCACCUUCUAUGUUUGCUUAGGCUUCAUAAUCCUGGGAAUGACGCAGAGCCAAUUUAAGGUGCCUAUCGUCCAACUCCAGAUGAAGAUGUUUCUCCAUCGGAUUUUCCCGGACAUAACGUUGAGUGAGGCGCCAUACUGUUGUCUUACAGACCUGAUUUUUUUAACGCUUAUCAUUUAUUGAUAAGCGUUUUUUU
rnacentral:sRNA from 1 species